CUAGGGAACCUUUACCCAGUAGGUAUUAACUAGGGAAUGACCAGUAGGUAUUAACUAGGGAAUGACCAGUAGGUAUUAACUAGGGAAUGACCAGUAGGUAUUAACUAGGGAAUGACCAGUAGGUAUUAACUAGGGAAUGACCAGUAGGUAUUAACUAGGGAAUGACCAGUAGGUAUUAACUAGGGAAUGACCAGUAGGUAUUAACUAGGGAAUGACCAGUAGGUAUUAACUAGGGGAAUGACCAGUAGGUAUUAACUAGGGAAUGACCAGUAGGUAUUAACU